UCUUUGGCCAGAGAAUUGUGAAUUGAGCGGCAAUUCCUUUUCCUCAUUCCUCCGCCAUUUUGUUCCUUUCACACGAUCUCUCUCCAAUCAGUUCAACCUUUCCAAAAUUAUGCAAUUGUUUCCUUUCUCAAAUUUAUUUCCAAUAGAAAACCCUAAAUGUUUUGCAUCAACUACAAUCAACAAAAUAACUCAUUGGAUUUCUCUCUGCGCGUUUCGUUAUUUCAAAUUCUUCUUCAAUCGAAGGGGAGAGAUGCAAUUGGGUAUUUCAACUUCUUCUUCAAUCGGUAUGCAAUUUUUUCACAUUAUGAUUUCAGAUGGUGGUAUUGAUUUGGCUUUCUGUUUAUGCUAUGCCACAAAGUUAUGGAGGAGUUCUUUGUGGAAAUCGGUUUGGGUUGGAAAGGGUUUAAAGGGAAGUACAGGGGAGUGAGAUCGGAUGGGUCGUAUUCGAGAUAAUAUCUCCCUUGCAGAAAAGGCAACAAGCUGAAUGGGAAGUUGCAUGUUCUAUGUAUUUUGUUACCAUCAGGUUUUAGAAGAGGAAGCUUUCUGACAUGUUAGGAUCUCCACGGACUGAUAAGGAAGUUGAGCGCUUCUAUAAAGCUUAUAUGAAGUGUGAAAAAGACUGGAAGGAUGUUUGUGCUUUCUUUGUCUUCUUUUUUGUGGUUAAACUACUCUUUCAGACCUACACUACAAUUGCACAUUUCAGGCUAUGUGCUUCAUAGAUGCUUUUACAAUAAGGAAGUGUUAGCCAGUGACUUUGUAAGAUGGAACUAUCAUAGUGUCUCAAUUUUGUUGUUUCGGUUCUCAAACAAAAGAAGUAUGUUAUGUAGUUUGCAUGGGUUGUUUGGUUCGGUUUUGAGCCCCAAUCGAUCCAAAAGUGACACCGAAUCUUGGGUGUAUUACUUGAA